AUCAACAGUGUGCCCUGAUUUAUAGUGUGAAGGAGGACUAAGAGCAAGCCAUAAGCUCAUGGAGGGGGAGAUUGGACCUCCUCCAAGACAUGAAGGAGGGACCAGACGCCUGGGAGGUAAUGGCCACAGGUGUGCCCUGCAGGUGACUCAGACAUCAAAGGCUGCUGGUGACGUGCUUUUCUGAAAUGGUGACCAAGUCUUGGUGAACGUCCAAAAGAAGCAUAGAACAACUUUCUCUCAACGUACAGGGUGGUUGCUCUCCUGGGAAAUCAUAUGCUUUUCUAUGUAAAAUGAAGUCAGAUUCUAGAUAGAUGCCAAUAAUUUCAAACAGGAUUUUCACCUACAUGAAUGGGACGUGGGCCCGUUCUUUGUUGCAGGGCACAAGACAGCUAGUCUUCCUGCCCACUGGUGUUACCAAAUGGCCAGUGACUCUGGACAAAUUUUCAAUGCCAGUGGGGACAGCCUGGAAACUGUCCCCAGGAAAACAAAGAGGUUAGUGGCUUGAGCCACACCCCCAGGUCUGCACUGGGCCUUUGCACACACCAUUUGUUGAAGGGGACUCUGCCCUUUCAGCAGGUCUCCACACGUUCCUCAUCCCACUUCAACAAAACUACCACAUAGAAGACCAGGUGAGGAAACUGCCUCUGCCAUCCAGCCAUGCUGCUGUGGAUUCCCAGAUUCCGAGGGACCUGGCGUUGGACCACAGUGUGGCUCCCUGGUGCUUAGAUCAGCAGGCCUGGCACGUGGCUGUGCUUAAAUGGCACCACGCCGGCCGCCACUCUGCAACUUGCUUUCCUUGACGGCUUCCACUCUCCCAGCUGAUCCCCUCCGAUGGUGUCCUGCAAUGAAUCAUCCAUUCUGGGACAGCGAUGGCUGUCCUAGCUCCCAGGGCUACCUCAGCAAGCUCCACAGACCCAGAGGCCUAAACAACAAAAUCAUUCUCUCACAGUCCUAGAGGUCCAAGGUCCAGACUCAGGUGUGGCCAGGGAGGCUCCCUCUGGCAGGGAGGGAGGGUCUGCCCGGUGGCUCCUCCCAGCUUCCAGCAGCCGCAGGCAUUCCCCCGCUUGGGCUGCCUUCUCCUCCAUCCACCCUGUCCUUUUCUCUCUAUGCAUUUCUGUCCUAGAGUCUAAACUCCCCCCUUUUUACAAAGGACACCAGUUAUUUUGGACAAGGACCCUCUAUAACCUCAUCUCAGUGAUGAUCAACACAGACCCUGUUUCCAAACAAGGCCACAUUCACACACCCUGGGUUAGGACAUCACCGUCUUUGGAGUGAGUGUGUGUCCCAGAACAAUGGCCAAAUAGGUGAUUUCUGAUUUUCAAUCUUCAAAUAUACUUCUGUAGUCUGGGGAUAUAGCUCAUGGUACAGCGCUUGUCUAGAAGGAGGCGGCUCAAACACACUUGGGGAACUACCAAGAUCACGUCCUAGUCUACAUGAGGGCUGUGUUGA